rnacentral:misc_RNA from 1 species
UUGCCUUCCCGUCGUGUGGAAAAAUUCGUCAGACAGCCCCGCACCUGUCCUCCUUGUGGCUUUGCGGCUGCAAUGCGGACCUCGAAGGCAGUCCCCGUGUCCCGGACAUAUCCUCUGACUUUUGUCGUGGCUGUCUCGGUCCACAGGACAACUGCUCGUGCUCUCGGAUGUGGAAAAUUAAGCGGACGUGGGGGGGUCUUGGCCUCCGGUUGCUCCAAUCAAGUCCCUCGAUAAGAAUGACUCUCGCUACCUCAUUGAUCGCAGGCCGUCUAGGCCCGUGGCAUCAAUGAUGGUCCGAAGUCGAUAACGAAUGCUACCUGGUUGAUCCUGCCAGUAGUCAUAUGCUUGUCUCAAAGAUUAAGCCAUGCAUGUGUAAGAAA